AGCCCGUUAGCCAAGCGGUAAGGCACCUGACUCUGACUCAGGCAUUCGGUGGUUCGAAUCCAUCACGGGCUGCCA
rnacentral:tRNA from 2 species